rnacentral:rRNA from 1 species
UGGGGAAUAUUGCACAAUGGGCGCAAGCCUGAUGCAGCCAUGCCGCGUGUGUGAAGAAGGCCUUCGGGUUGUAAAGCACUUUCAGCGGGGAGGAAGGCGUUAAGGUUAAUAACCUUGGCGAUUGACGUUACCCGCAGAAGAAGCACCGACUAACUCCGUGCCAGCAGCCGCGGUAAUACGGAGGGUGCAAGCGUUAAUCGUAAUUACUGGGCGUCAAGCGCACGCAGGCGGUCUGUCAAGUCGGAUGUGAAAUCCCCGGGCUCAACCUGGGAACUGCAUUGGAAACUGGCAGGCUAGAGUCUUGUAGAGGGGGGUAGAAUUCCAGGUGUAGCGGUGAGAUGCGUAGAGAGCUGGAGGAAUACCGGUGGCGAAGGCGGCCCCCUGGACAAAGACUGACGCUCAGGUGCGAAAGCGUGGGGAGCAAACAGG